UACGGGGGGGGCAAGCGUUGUUCGGAAUUACUGGGCGUAAAGGGCUCGUAGGCGGCCAACUAAGUCGGAUGUGAAAUCCCCAGGCUCAACCUGGGAACUGCAUCCGAUACUGGAUGGCUUGAAUUCGGGAGAGGGAUGCAGAAUUCCAGGUGUAGCGGUGAAAUGCGUAGAUAUCUGGAGGAAUACCGGUGGCGAAGGCGGCAUCCUGGACCGACAUUGACGCUGAUGAGCGAAAGCUAGGGGAGCAAACGGGG
rnacentral:rRNA from 1 species